rnacentral:lncRNA from 1 species
GCCAGAUGCUCAGCACUAAACGUCUUUCCAUUCAGAGCAGAAUGUCGACGACCCAUGACUAAAAAGCGUGUGCCGAUUUACUUUGUCUUACCAGAGAACUUUCUCCAGAAGUAGAGAUUGGAAUUGAAAGGUUGUUGAUAGAAGUUUACAAGGCGUAAGAAGCAACCUUUUGUAAACCUUCCAUACUUACCCUGUGAAAGUAUCCACUUACCAAUUGCUAGAAGGCAGCGCUCUCUAUGGUACCUGAUCUGUCAAAACAAGAAUUCUGCACUACACACUCGUAGAUCCUGACAAAAAUGCUCUGACAUCUCAAUAUGUGCUUCAAGUGUUCAUAGAGAAGGACACGUGAGAACUGAAAAACGAACUCCUGUAACUCUAAAACGUGUGUCUGCACUACCCAGCCACCCUGGCUGCAGCAGAAAGGACAACUGGAUCCAAAAUAAUUCUUUUAUAUGUUCUUGUUUGUGUUCAGAAGUUGUGUGGAACAAACGUAGGAAAUAGACUAGACUCAGUAGCCUGCAAUCUGUGUGAAUAUGAAAUCCCCCUAAAGUGGCAGUUACCCUUAAGUGGACUUCCCUGGGGCUAUCAGUGAUGGAGUAGCUGGCAUUACCUGCUGAGUGAAUAGAGCAGCUGCCACUUGAAAAAUCAAGGGCUGGACCCCUGUAGCUUAAUGACCCUCUCCAUCCAAGUGCUGAGGACGCAGGUCUCCCUUUCUCUCCUUGUUAGACUAUGGUGAAUGAAAUCUUUUUUACAUAAAUGAUUUAGUCCAUCAUUCAUUCUGUUACUUAGCCAAUCAGUUCUUCCCUAAUUAAGCACAUAUAGAGCACCUGCUGUGUACAGGCACUGUGCCAUGGACUAAAGCUACAGAAACAGAGACCUGGCCUCUGUUUUCAUGGCGCCUGUCUUGUGAGGAGACAGACACAUAAUUCUCAAAGCAGGAGCUAAGUUCUACGAUAGCACAAAUUAGGGAGUUAACGAUUCUACCUAAAAUGCUCACUUAGAACAUUCCUCCAAGUUUCAAGAAAGGAGAAGUUUUAGACGGCUGGUGGCUUUGCAUUCACUCACUGCUGUGAAAGUAAAACAGAAAGAAAUACAGUUGAUAAUUGUUCAAAAAUACCUGAGAAGAGUCAACUUGCUUGGUAAAGAUGAGAUGCCAUCCAGUUCAGGCGGCUUGCAGCUCCAGAAUGUGUAAUUUCAUUUUGCCAGAGUUUAAAG